rnacentral:rRNA from 1 species
GAUGAACGCUGGCAGCGUGCCUAAUACAUGCAAGUCGAGCGAACAGACGAGAGUGCUUGCACUCUCUGACGUUAGCGGCGGACGGGUGAGUAACACGUGGGUAACCUACCUAUAAGACUGGGAUAACUUCGGGAAACCGGAGCUAAUACCGGAUAAUAUUUAGCUUCGCAUGAAGCAAUAGUGAAAGACGAUUCUGCUGUCACUUAUAGAUGGACCCGCGGUGUAUUAGCUAGUUGGUGAGGUAACGGCUCACCAAGGCAACGAUACAUAGCCGACCUGAGAGGGUGAUCGGCCACACUGGGACUGAGACACGGCCCAGACUCCUACGGGAGGCAGCAGUAGGGAAUCUUCCGCAAUGGACGAAAGUCUGACGGAGCAAUGCCGCGUGAGUGAAGAAGGUUUUCGGAUCGUAAAACUCUGUUGUAAGGGAAGAACAAGUACGUUAGUAACUGAACGUACCUUGACGGUACCUUACCAGAAAGCCACGGCUAACUACGUG